AGCGAUCAUUUGUUUUCGUUUCUUUAAACCAAAACAUGUUUAAGCCUACAGAGGCCAAUGGUUUCUUUUCUUUUUUUUUUUUUUGGCAAUCGAUUCGGAAGCUGAUGCCGACUAAAUCAACUCCAAAUAGACGGAACUUGCUCUCGUCCUAGCAUCCUCUCCCUCUUUCCAAAACGCUUCUGCUCAAACAUAAAGCCCAUCGCCGGCACUCUCACCUUCACAAAGAAACAGAAUGGCUGAACCGGUAGCCCAAUGGUACUAAAGCUGGCGGCGGCGGGGUCGGUGGUGGCGAAGGGGUCACUUCGCUGUCUACUCUUCAAGUAAAGCAGCUCCUCCCGAAGCAUUGGUAGGGUGCUCGGCCGGUGCUUGAAGGGUACCAAGCACUUCAACAAAUGGGAGGUCGGAAGAUCGUUAAGGGUGCUUUCAAUUCGAAGGCGCUAUUAGCCCAAGACGCAAAAGGGCCAGUUUGAUGGCGAACGUCCGUGGGAUUCACAUCAAAGAACACAGUCAAACAGAUGCUCCACCUUCUGCCCCUUCUCCAAGUUAUCGCUGUCGAUGAAAGCGGUGAUGCCCUUAAGUUUUAAAAAAGCAUGGAGGUGGUCGGUGAAGCCCUUGCGAGUGUCUGGUCCUCUAAAACU